rnacentral:lncRNA from 1 species
AAUAAAUGGGAGGAAAGGGGUUCACUGGAGUUUGUCUCUUGAAAAUGGUUUUAUUUAUUUAUUCUCUUGAAGGUCUUUUUCUCUAUUUUAUUUCAUGGUAUCAAAGCCAACAAGAGAAUUAGGGUGCUAAAAAAGAAGCCAAAACCUGCUUGUUUAAAGAAUCAAACUCUUCCUGUUUGCUUUUUCUUUUUUUAUUUUAUGAUCGAG